ACACACACACACACACUACAUGCUUCAGUGCUCUGUCAGUGUUUAAAGCUCUGUGAGUUUAACACUUCAUGACUGAGAGCUGCUGACCAGCAUCUUCACCCACAUCAACCAUGACCUUCAUCUCCAUCUUCAUCUGCACACUGGCUCUCUGCACUCAAGGAUCCAGAGGUCAGGUGACUGUGACUCAGAGUCCUGCAGCAAGACAUGUUGAUCCAGGAGCUUCAGUCACCAUCAACUGUAAAACCAGUUCUAAUGUUUAUCGCUAUGGUGAUGGAGAUGAAGCUUUUUUCUGGUAUCAGCAGAAACCUGAAGAAGCUCCUAAACUCCUGAUUAGAUAUGCAAAGAAGUUAGAAUCAGGUGUUCCAGAUCGUUUCAGUGGCAGUGGAUCUGGAUCUGACUUCACUCUGACCAUCAGUAGAAUUGAGACUGGAGAUGCAGGAGAUUAUUACUGUCAGAGUUACCAUAGUGCUGGUGGUGUCUUCACACAGUGUUAUAUGGUGGUACAAAAACCUGGUUCUUCUGCUCCGGUCACCACCCCGUCCUUCACCACUGUGCCGUCCACCGUCCAGCUCACCAGCGCCCCCUGUGGAGAGUAA